rnacentral:rRNA from 1 species
UACGGAGGGUGCAAGCGUUAUCCGGAUUCACUGGGUUUAAAGGGUGCGUAGGUGGACUGGUAAGUCAGUGGUGAAAUCUCCAAGCUUAACUUGGAAACUGCCGUUGAUACUAUCAUUCUUGAAUAUCGUGGAGGUAAGCGGAAUAUGUCAUGUAGCGGUGAAAUGCUUAGAUAUGACAUAGAACACCGAUUGCGAAGGCAGCUUGCUACACGAUCAUUGACACUGAGGCACGAAAGCGUGGGGAGCAAACAGG